GAUGGGCGCGGUGGCGCGUGCCUGUAGUCCCAGCUACUCAGGAGGCUGAGGCUGGAGGAUCUCUUGAGCCCAGGAGUCCUGGGCUUUAGUGCGCUAUGCCGAUUGGCAUCAAUAUGGUGACCUCCCAGGAGCAGAGGACCACCAGAUUGCCUAAGGAGGGGUGAACCAGCCCAGGUCAGAAACGGAGAAGGUCAAAACUCCUGUGCUGAUCGUGCCUGUGAAUAGCCACUGCACUCCAGCCUGGGCAACGUAGGAAGACCCUGCGUCUU
ensembl:misc_RNA Metazoa_SRP Metazoan signal recognition particle RNA